AUGGUAUAUUUGAAAAUACAACCUUACAGACAAAAUGCAUUCAGUUUAAGAGGAUCACUGAAAUUGAGGUCCAAGUUUUAUGGUCCAUACAGGAUAAUUGAAAGAAUUGGAGAGGUUUCAUACAAAUUACACCUGUCGGAGGGUACAAACAUACAUCCAGUCUUUCACAUCAGCCAGCUCAAGAAACAUAUUGGACAUAAAGCAAUUCCUCUACCUCAUGUUCCAUUAGUUACGCCUGAAGGGUAUAUCAAGACAAUUCCAGUGGCAGUGUUGGACAGAAGAAUCGUCAAUCGGAACAAAACUCCAGUUGGUCAGUGUUUGGUACAAUGGGAAAGCUUAGCUUCAGAUGAUGCAACCUGGGAAUAUGCUACGUUCAUGAACAAAACUUUCCCUGGUCACAAACUGUUUCGCCUUGAGAACAAGGCUGUCGUCAUGGCGGCGGCAUUGUCAGGACCAGAACCCAGGCGAUACUGA
rnacentral:rRNA from 1 species